GCUCCACUCGCUGUCAAUUUUAGUGCGCAUUUAGCAGUCAAGGCGAACUGUUAUGGAAGAAUCGAAACAGUUAAAAACGCUAAUACGCGUUAAUUUCGGGACACGUUAGCAGCAGUAGUAGUUGUGUUUAAAUAAGUAAAGAUUUAUUAAAACAAAAACAAAUAACAGCAAUAAAUCGUUAAAAGAAAAAGUUUUGAAUAAUAUUAAAUACUAUAACAACACAAAAAAGUGCAAUCGAUUUUGUGAUUUUUUUAUUUGCGUUUUAUCUAAAUGUACGUCGUUGCUCUGCUUGGCAGACAAGAACGCCAGCUGUGUAAGUCUGAGUUAGUUUGUGUUAGUGUUGUGCAAUAACAAAAGUAUAAAAAAUAUUGACUAAAACGUAACGUGUUCAUGUUCCAUGAAAUAUAACUACAUAAUAAUAAAUAAAAACAACAGCAAGAAUGUAAUUAGAGCACAAAAAUAUACAAUUUUACUAAUAUCUAGCGUUCAUAAUAAUACCAGCAAUAACAAAAAAAAACGAAGUGAAUUCAAGUAAAUAAAAGCAACGAUAAAGCUUGCGAUGCCCAGCGGUGUUGAUAAGCACAAAAAUAAAUAAAUAUACAUAUGUAUGUAUAAAAAAAAUUCUCUUGGAAAAAAAUUUCUCUUGCAAAAAAAUUUACUGAUUGCAGUGCUAUGCAACACAAAAAGGACAUAACAAUUUGCAACUUUUCGUGUUCCACAAAAACCAUAACAAAAUAAACGAAAAUCUAAAACAAAAUUAAGUGAAGCGAAACACAAAUUAAAAUCAAACGAAGAAAAUGUGCGAAAUAUUAUCAAAGUGAGGCGCCGUUGAAUGUAUAUAGUUAAGUGAAAAAACUAAAAAAUAACAUAAAGUCGCAAAAGAAGCAGCAUUAUACCGCAAAAUGUAAACAAAGUGCCGCGCUGCCGGUAAGCGUUUUGCAGCUGCGCAAAAUGUGUUUACUUCUUCGCAAAUUAAUGGAAAAUUUCCUAUUGCCUGUUGAUUUUGACGAGUGAGCGUCGAAUAUUCGAUAAUCAGAAAAAUUACUACGACUGCGAGCAGCGUGCAAGGCACAAACAACUAUCUGUGUUAAAUGUGCUUGUCACUCGCAUGUGAAUUGCGCAAUUUCGUGUGAAAUUUGUGUUCUAACCUUUUAUUUUACUAUAUUCAACUUGCGAGAAAUGGCAAAGCUUAUUCUUAGCAAAAUCUCCAGUUUUGUUUGAAAAAAUUUCUUCUGCGUGCUGUAGUUCUGCCUUCGAUUAUUCGCCCAAAGCUUCAAAGGUGUAUUUCUCAGCAGCAUUGGAGUCUUGAAAAGCUAUGCUUUUUACAACUUACAUGACCAUAGGUGAGUAUAAAACUAAAAAAAACUGCGUUUGUUAAAAAGAAAAACAAAAACAAUUUGGAAAAUAAUAUUUGUUUACCCCAUAAAAUGUAUCAAUAGCAAAAAUAUUUGCCUAAAAAUGCGUUAUGGAAAAUUGCAUGUGCCAAAAAGCUUAAAAAUAGUUGUCCCAAAACGAAAUAUCUUAACAGUUUUGUCCCAAAAACUCAAUUAUGUACCAAAUUGGAGAAAAACACUUCUGACUGUAGAAAAACCCGUGUCCAAAAACCUAGUGUCCCA